CUGUAGCGCAAUGUAUAGCGCGUUGGACUUCUAAUCCAAAGGUCGUGGGCUUGAAACCCAUCUGAAAUGG
rnacentral:tRNA from 1 species